ensembl:snoRNA
UAGCAAGCUUCCAGCAUGCUUGGGUCUGCAGUGACACUGUUGCAUUACUACAGUGCUUGCCAUAACAGUUUUGAAAUGGUUUGAGGCCUUGUUUUGCCCUAUUCGGAGUAAGGUUAUAGAAAUUUCAGGCAAUU